rnacentral:rRNA from 1 species
UACGAAGGACCCAAGCGUUAUCCGGAUUUAUUGGGUUUAAAGGGUGCGUAGGCAGGUUAUUAAGUCAGUGGUGAAAGCCUACAGCUUAACUGUAGAAUUGCCAUUGAUACUGAUAAUCUUGAGUAUGAUUGAGGUGGGCGGAAUGUGUCAUGUAGCGGUGAAAUGCUUAGAUAUGACACAGAACACCGAUUGCGAAGGCAGCUCACUAAGCCAUAACUGACGCUGAUGCACGAAAGCGUGGGGAGCAAACAGG